UAGGGUGGAGGCCCGCAUCAGAGCAUCCAUAUUCAUCGGACCCUACUAACGGCAGAGCGCUGACAGCAAAGAGGCGGGGCCACAAGUGCCUCACCUCAAGGAACCGCCCCCCAUCCCUAAGAGAGUGCGAGUUCCCUGCAGUUCAUUUAAAGCACUGGAGUGGAGUGUGAUCUUCUAGAAUCAACUCUCUGCAGCGGCCAGCAGGACUACGGACGCCA